AGAGUACGUGAAACCGUUUAGGGGUAAACCUGAGAAACCCGAAAGUUUCGAAUGAGGAGACUCAUCGUUAGCGAUUGGUUCACGUUCGCGUUGGGCGCGAUGUUUGAGACUCGGCGUUUCAUUUUAUGGCUCGCCGGUCGAUUUCACGCGUUCGCUGCGUUACGCUUGGCCUCGUUGACGUGCACUUCUCCUCUAGUAGAACGUCGCGACCCGCUGGGUGUCGAACUAAGGGCAAUUGAUUCGACUGUCUCGUCGUUUAAACGCGUACGUGGGCAGAGUCUUUUGAUAUCCCCGUUCGGCUGCCCGGCGGUAUUAAAAGAGCGGUAUCCAGUCGCACAUUAGUGCGUUCAGACUCGUCGCAAGCCAGACCAUGUUAUUUCUUGGGUGUGCGCACUUUGUGUCGUCGCCCGGGAGUGGUUGGCUGUUGGCGCGCGAUGUUCUCGAACUGGCUGUUUUGAAUUCAUUCAUAUACCGGUCGGCGACGCUAUUGAUUUGGGUACUUUCAGGACCCGUCUUGAAACACGGACCAAGGAGUCUAACAUGUGCGCGAGUCAUUGGGACAAUGAAACCUAAAGGCGAAUUGAAAGAGAAGAUCGACCUCGCGUCGAUCGAGGGAGGAUGAGCGCGUUUAGAUGCUUUCUAGCGUCGAGGACCGCUCCGCACUCCCGGGGCGUCUCGUUGUCACAGCGACAUGAGGCGCACCCAGAGCGUACACGUUGGGACCCGAAAGAUGGUGAACUAUGCCUGGUCAGGACGAAGUCAGGGGAAACCCUGAUGGAGGUCCGUAGCGAUUCUGACGUGCAAAUCGAUCGUCGGAACUGGGUAUAGGGGCGAAAGACUAAUCGAACCAUCUAGUAGCUGGU
rnacentral:rRNA from 1 species